rnacentral:rRNA from 1 species
AUUGAACGCUGGCGGCAGGCUUAACACAUGCAAGUCGAGCGGAGACUUCGGUCUUAGCGGCGAACGGGUGAGUAAUACCUAGGAAUCUGCCUAUUAGUGGGGAUAACGAAUCGAAAGGUUCGCUAAUACCGCAUACGUCCUACAGGAGAAAGGGGGGNUCUUCGGACCUCUCGCUAAUAGAUGAGCCUAGGCCGGAUUAGCUAGUUGGUAGGGUAAAGGCCUACCAAGGCGACGAUCUGUAGCUGGUCUGAGAGGAUGGCCAGCCACACUGGAACUGAGACACGGUCCAGACUCCUACGGGAGGCAGCAGUGGGGAAUAUUGGACAAUGGGGGCGAACCCUGAUCCAGCCAUGCCGCGUGUGUGAAGAAGGCCUUCGGUUGUAAGA